AUCCACAGCGCUGUGUUCAAGGAACUCUUAUUUUACAUGGUUAUAACCCCCAACCACAAGAGGAGUGAUGCUGACAAUUCGGAUCUGCCUAAGAAAAGCCAUAAAGUCCUUCCUUUAAGUGAAAAGUGAAAGUUCUCGACUUAAUAAGGAAGGAAAAAAAUAACUUCAUGCUGAGGUUGCUAAGAUCUAUGAUAAGAAGGAAUCUUCUAUCUGUGAAAUUGUGAAGAAGGAAAAAGAAAUUUGUGCUAGUUUUGCUGCUGCAAAAGCUACUGCCACAGUGCACGGAAAUGCCUCUUGAAUGGGAGAAGCUGCUGCUCCCCCAAAUUGCUGGGGAAGAAAGGGAGUUCCUGAUCUUUCUUAUUGAGGCUCAUGGAGCUUCUGUCCUGGAGAUUCAGUAUACUUCAGUAAUGGCUCUGGAGAAGAGAACUCAGGAUCCUCAAGACCCAAUGGCUCGUGAUGAUAAAAGCCUUUGGGUCUACCGACAUUUUCCCUACGUGCUCAGACAUGUCUGCAUGCAUUUAUUGGCAUAUUUUUCCAUACUCAAAGCAAGUUGCUAUGUGUUAGUACUAAAGCAACCCAUAAUAGUAAAAACGAAUUUCUGCACCAAGAGAAUGAAUCGGCAGCUGAGAAAGUCAGAGUGAAGAGGCCCCAGUAAUAUCUCUACCUACUUGAAGGUUAAAUAUUCCUAAGACUCUAGGAGGAAAGAGGAGAGAAAGUGGGCCCUGUUCUUUCCUCCAGGAUGUAAGGUUUUUCCAGGCUGCUUUGAAAAGUCUCAAUUACUCCAGGCUAUAGAAGAAUACAAUCAGAGGUGAGUUCCCUGAAAUCAAGGACACUGCCUUAUCUAAUGGUGCUGGGAGUGCAGCGAACUUGCUGGGGACAGUUUGAAGGAUCAUCUUAAGCUCUGAAACCAGGUUGCUGCCACCUGCUACAGAUCACCCACAGCCAAUGUCCUUGGCUGAGUGACACAGCUUCCCCGUGACCGCCACUGAUCCAGCCACCAAGUAUGCAGCCCAACCUAUGAAGCUGAGCCCAGAAGUGGCUCAAAAAAACAAGCCACAACCCAGAACUGAAUCACAACAGCCUUUUCCUUUA
rnacentral:lncRNA from 1 species